CACGUAGGGUGCGAGCGUUGUCCGGAAUUAUUGGGCGUAAAGAGCUCGUAGGCGGUGUGUCGCGUCGGCCGUGAAAACCUGCAGCUUAACUGUGGGCUUGCGGUCGAUACGGGCAUCACUGGAGUUCGGCAGGGGAGACUGGAAUUCCUGGUGUAGCGGUGAAAUGCGCAGAUAUCAGGAGGAACACCGGUGGCGAAGGCGGGUCUCUGGGCCGAUACUGACGCUGAGGAGCGAAAGCGUGGGGAGCAAAAGGG
rnacentral:rRNA from 1 species